CUUCGUCUCGCCGUCGCCGGAGGAGCGGCCGACGAAGCCCGCGUCGCCUCCAAGGAAGGCGACGAUGGGGCCCUUCUUCCGUUUCCGUAGGCCAUGGCUGCCUGAGCGGCCCGGAGGAUGGACUGCGCGGUGAUGGCGCGUAGAGGUGUGGCGUAUCCCGUGCAGGCGAGCUCGUCGCAGCGUGCAGGAGGGCGUGGCACCAUGGCAGUGUGGUGGAGGGCGUCGUGGAGCAGGGCAUCGAUCUGGAGGGCGUGGGCGGGAGCGCCCGUGCUCCGGGCCGCAAGGAGGCUCGCGGGUGCAUCGCCUGCGUGCGGCGCAGGGCGCCAGAGUUGAUGCGGCCUCAGCCACUGGUCUAGCGGCGCCCUGCUGCUUGAGUGGGCAGGCGGGCCGGCCAGAUCUGGCCUGGCUGUGGAGGUGGGCGUCCCUGCUGAUGGCGCUGCUGGCCUCCAGAGGGCGGGCGUUCUUGGGCAGCUGGUGCGGGGCGUGCGGCUGCACGUGAGGGCUGGCGCGGAUCUGGGCAUGGCAGCGCGAAGUGGCCGUUUCUCCGCCACUGGUCGGUGGUUGGAGGGGCUGUAGGUGCGCUGGUCUUACACGGUGAUGCUUGGCGAGGUGGGCUACUCGGGUCCACUGGUUGGAUGGUUGAGGUUGCCGGCGAAAGCUGAACUCCGGCAGUGGCCGGAGUUGUCGAUGGCCGCGGCGGCAGGCCGUUUCCUUGCUGAAGCAGCCAGACAUGCCCAUCCGGCUGGAAAGGAAUCGGCAAGCUGCAGACCGAUGAAGCUAAGUAGUUUUGUUAUCUUUGUUUGCACAGCCAGAUAGCACGCCUUCUUGCUGAUUACUUCUUCCCGUACACUCACGUGAAACAACAUAGAUUCACUAAUUGAUUUUGGCCAGAUGCGCUAAUACAGAAAGUUAGCUUGAUUAGUUAAUCUUCAGCUAGAUGAGCGCACACAUGUAACGCACAGAACGCGCAAACACGGGAAAAUCUAUUGGAUGGCAAUAGGUGUGUGACGCACCUAUGUUUUUAUUGUUUUGAUCUGGUGAAGUUCAAAGGGGUUCUUAUUUUCAUAAGGCCAAAUGAUGUUCAUCAGUGCGUUGGAUACCUUUCCUCUUUUUUGCUAUGUAUGUUUUCAUGAUAUUUCUCUUGUCCUUUACAUAAACUAUCUUUCUAUUACCCCUCGGAUGACUCCCAAAUGUUGUAGUUCAUCUGUCAAAAAAGGUGCUUUGCCUGAUAAUAAUUUUUUUGUUAUAUUUGUUAAAUAGUACACUGCAACAUUGAUUGUGCUAGGCGUGAUGGAAGCGUGAUGCUCGCAGACACUUGUCAAGAUGCGGAAGGAUGGGAACACAGUGGUGGGGAACUUGGGUAUAUGAAUGAUAUACAUGAUCAGAAUAUGCAUGCCACAUUAGGUUGACAUGGAGUGGAGAGGAGCCAAGGUAGGGGUGGUGAAGAGAGUCAUUGGAAGAACAAAGAAUAAGGUAUUUAGCGGGAAAUAAGGCAAAAAAUCAGUUGGACACAUAACGUUUAGCAAAAAUGAGCUCACCAUUUUUGAGUGUUUACUACAUCCUGGUCAUCUACAAGUACUACAAGACAUCAUAUGUAACUACAACCUUCCUCUUCAACAUGUCGUUUAUUUUGCGGGUGUCAUGUCUCUUAUUUUUGCGGGUAGCAGUUAUGUUGAAGACAAUUCUUUAUUUCUUUUGUAAGGUGAAAUACAAGCAUGUUAAUUAUUGUAUGAUGUAGAUUUAUAUAGAGAGAGUGGUUACUACCUUUUUUCCAUUCUAUCCAAAAAACGGAUUGGGUUCUACCAUCAAAAGCGAUAGCGGAUAAAAACAAGAAAAAUCAACCAGGUCGGUGACUUCUUUGCUGAUUUACCAUUAAACUCGAAUUAGUAUUUAAUGUAAUGAAGGUCAAACUCUUGUCCGUACUGAAUUUUGUCUUUUUUGCAGGAGAGAGGGAGGAGUUGGCCGGCAUGGGGUCAUGAGUGGUACAAACAGGAAGAUGCACGCCCAUGGUUUUGUAGGUUCAGUUUACUGUGGAUUUUCAGUUCUUUUCAUCUCAUAAUUAUCUUUAUUUAUGUGUUAAGCUUUUAUUUUUCUUUUGGUCCUUCCCACUUGAGGCCUCUUGUGCACCUUGAUUUAGUUCUGUUCUUUAUUCGGUGCCAGUGUCUUAGGACAAUACUUUCAUGCAUGGAUUAUUUCCAGCAUUCAAAUUUGGAUACCUUUGUUCCACUAGGUUCGUUGCAUUCACCUUAUUGAAGAUAAUAAACACUUAUUGAGGAACAUGCUAAGGAUGGAGGAACGGACCUCAAGUUCCAGCUGCAUAUUAUUCAGCUUGAUUCAUUGCUCAGGAUUUUUGAAGAUAUGGCUUCUAAUUCCAUCAACCAAGAACUUAAUUCAGAAUCUAAAAUUUAAAGGUGAGGUAGAGGAAUAUUGCCUGUCCUGUCCAGAAACAAUGCUCGUUUUUUUAUUCCAGUCGAUGUAUUUCUUGUGUCUGAUGGAUUGAGUUUUGAGUUGGAACAUAAGUAUAUUAGUGUCAUAGAAUUUGCACAUAUGCUUUAUCCACUUGUGAUUACUAUUUACACAGCAUAUAUUUAUAUUUGGAUUACAGAUUCUCUGUACUUGUUGUUGUACUUUGUGUUUUCUACUGAUUGUGGUGCCUCUUGAAGCAGGGAAAGCUAGGAGUCAUUGAUGACAGGUACGGAAGUUGGCGGACACCUACAAGGAUGUGGAGGUGAGCAUCAUGGUGAUGCGGCACAACCUCGGGGCGGCGCUGGCCACCCUGAACACGUUCGAAAUCUUUGAGAAUGGCCAGUCAUGGCGUUUGCGUUUGUUAGGCCGCGCGUGGGCGGUGCCAGCUUUAAGAAGCGGUUCCGCGUCUACCACGCCCUCCGUGUCCGCAUCGCCCGGGACAUCAUGUCCAGGUACUCGAAGCUGUUGUACCACACCAUGGGGUCCGAGUUGGCCAUCGACAUCGGCACGUCGCCAUACCUGAGGGCGUCGCUGUCCGGUUUAUUUUUGCUGUUCGGAUCCCGCAAGGUGAGUUGAAUCAAUCUUGUACGCCUUAGGCGAUGCCCCAGCUUUUUUGAUAUCCGUCGACAUGAUUCCUCACAUAUAAACCAUGCAGCAGCCAUGGACAACCUUCAUCUAAAGAAGCUAUUGUUUGCUCCGGUGGAUUUGAUUUUGUCUUUCCUCUUUUCUAUGGUUGUGAGCAAUGAAAUCCAAUUUGCAUCUCCCUACAUGAUCAAGGCUACGGUGUGAAUUAUGACCAUCCGUCGGAUGAGGACACGAUUGUGGCAGGGAUGUUGGUGGCAUGAAGUUGUAUAGUAGCAGGAUGGUCUAAACUCAGCCACUUGAGAUUUGAGCUACUUUUUGGUCAUUUUCUACUCAAUUCUAGAGUUCUAUUGCAUUAUCAUAAUUUUUCAUAUCUCAGUAAAGUGGAUGUUUUUUAGGUUAAUAGUAAAGUGCAUGUCAGUACCUCCAAAAGGAUUUUUUUUCAUGAAAAUUGUUUUUUCCUGAUGGUAAUCAUUUUCAUACAAACUGCUAUAGUUGCUUGCCCUUUUGGCAGCAUUUGCUCAGAAGCUUGACUGCCGAGACUAGACUAGACUAGCUUGAUUUUCUUGAUACAUCUAAAUAUUCCAAUGUGAUAUGUUAAAAAUACAGGGAGGAUAUUUGUUUGGCUUAUGAGGAGAUUUUGGUUAACCAACGUUGAUGCUUUCACUCGCUCACCAUGUUCAUUUGGUCUGGAUUACUUCUCUAACAUUUUAAAAAUUGCUACUGUCAAGUUUCAGUUGGCGCGGGUGUAUAGCAGAGGUAUAUAUGUGAUAAGGUGCUGUGAUCAUGAGAAAAAGUAAGGAACUGCACAUCUGGGCCUCACAUUAAUUACAAAUGUUCAGUGGCUUACAAAGGGUACAUUUUACCUUGUUUGAAUUUCGAAGAUUUAGGCCAUAUACAUUGGUAUGUGAGACGUUGUGUCUUCCCAUAGAGAUACCAUCUAGAUUUUUAUUUUAUUUUGGAGUUGGAAGAAGGAUGAAUAAGAUGGAAGGAUGCCCCUUAAUCCGUAAGAGAAUACAUUUAGGUCAAAAUAUAAUUCUGUGGCUGAACUUUUACACUGGUCAGGCUUAGGUUUGGGCUGAGCAAAUAGUUUAAUUGGUGUUAAUGAGCCCAACAAAUGCAAGUUCAUCGAUUUCUCAUGAUAUGCUUUUGAUCUUUACCAAAAUAUGCAUUAUACCAUAUUCAUAUGUUCGUUUCCUAUGUCAGGUAUGUCGUACAGAGGGGAUCAAGCUGUAUAUUGCUAUGUGGAAUGCUUUGAUUCGAGGUGCUGUCGGGUUGGGAGCAUGAAACAUGCUCUGUAGUUCUUUGGUUCAAUGCAGGAGGAAGGGAUGUACAUAGACCCGAAGAUCUUUAUUAAGAUCAUCCACGGGUUGUGGAAGCCAGGGGAGUGAGAUUAAAUCAAGAAGUUUUUUGACAAAAUGAGGAUUCAAUGGCUCAAGGAGAAUAUCCUGCUUCUGGUACUUGCCUUCUACCUCACAAUGUUAACACAAAAGUUACUAUAUCUGUAAGACAUGCCCUCUCUCGUUUAAUGAUGUCCUGAAAUUUCCACAUAAAACUUGGUAAUCAUGCCAAGUAAUCAUGCUAAUUUUGAGAGAAGUUCAAGUGGCAUGCCCCCAUUUGCCAUGGUUGCGAUGUACUAAUAAGCUGCAGGACUAAUUUUUUUAUUAUUGGACUGAUAUUCUAAAGUUACAUAUGUAAGAGCAUAUGAUAUUUCUCAUAAACAACUGCAGUUAAGAUUCCAUGCUCUUCAUGCGUUGAACGAGUUCGCUGUUGAGCAAGCUACAGUCUCUUUGUUUGACUAGCUAGGCUGUGUUGUGUACAUGUAAAAGAUGAUCCUUCUGUGGCUACUUGCAUGUGUAUAUGUGUUGAAGCUCUUCGGCAUUUUUUAAGAUAAACUCUUUCCGUUGUUUGACUACCACAAGGCUCCAAGAGCCCUCAUUUCUGCAUGUAUAUUUUGUUGUACAGCCUAUGCUGGUUUGCCGCACCAACCCAAUUCUCUUUGUAGACUUUGAUUUAGUCAUGUGCUGAAGCAAAUUCUUCCUACCUUAUUCCUCAAGAGUUGAAGAGGAUGGGAAGACACAUGUGCUAAAGCAAAAUAGAUCAGUAUAUUCAGAAUCUACCCAAUGGCUUACCUUAACUUACAUGUAGUGUGAGCCUGCUCACAUAGCAAGAAACCUAUCCUUUUAUUCUGCUAGAAUUGAGUGCCCACUAUUAAAAUUCAUAACUGGAACCAUAAAUUACGUAUUCUCUGUGCAAUGUCACCCGUAACCGGUUGCUCUAUAUCUUUCCUCUCUCGAGCGUACUUUUAUUUCUGUAUUCCAUGCUAUGGUAGUAUUUUUCUGCCGCAACAAUUUGUUUUUGUUAUCAUGUCGGUGAUAGUGGCAGGCUGUUUUGACAGUGCGAUAAUGUCAUGAGCAUUCUAAUUAUAUAGCAGAUGAACUGGCAAAAACAUACUGACACUUUUGAACCUUCAUAAAUUCAGAAAUGAAGUCGAGAUUGUUGCUUAACAGAUCAAGUAAUUGCACUUUUAUAUAGUAUAUAAACUUGUUGCAAAACUUUAGUUUAGUACAUCAAUUUGCUGAUAUUUUGGGGAACAGAGUUCACACCGUCAACUAGAUAUGUGGAACUGCACAUGUUCUUGUUGAGUUGCUUCUUGAACAGGCGUGUCUCUUUUUAUGAUAUUUUGUAAGAUUUCCUUUUGGCCCCCACACUAGCAGAUUACUUGGAGUUCAGCUAAUCAUUUUCUUACCAUCCAAUAUUCUCAUCAUUUUCUUCUUAAUAUAAACCAAACUUUGUAUGUACUAGAUAUGGUUAUUACUCUAUCCGUUGAGGGUGCAAUAAUAUUGUUUUCUAUCUCCUCGAGGAUGUCCCCAACCGUGUGAAGGUGUUUAAGGAAGGAGGUUCAGAGUCAUCAUCGUAGUAUGGAGACGCUGCCCAUGUUGUCAUCAUAGUAUGGAGCGGCUACAACUCUAAGUGGAGGUGGUGUAUAUGUCGGAGUGAUUUAUUCUUGACAAACGUGGAGUGCGGCUUGUUCGGAUCUGCCUUCUUGGCUCUCUGGGCAUCAUGAGGGGCACAUGUCUCACCCCCCUUGAUGGUGGCGACGAAUCGGCACGAACACGGGGGGAGGGGAUCAAGAUGGAGAGCGGGACAGUUGGCGGGGGAUUCCUCCUUGGCAGUUCAUGGGGAAGUAUGGUGUCAAGAAGAGAAGGCACCAUGGCGAGGGAAAGGUGGGCAUCAUACAGUUUUAAAGGAUAGGACUCUAGCGAGAAAUCUCCCGCUACGACGGGAAACCGAGCAGGAAAGGGAUGGUCCGACGGGAAACUAAGCAUCGUGGGGUGGGGUUCUUGUGUUGGGACCACGUGUUGGAGAUAACAUGACAAAUAAUUCAGACAACCACAUUUCUUCCCCAUAUAUGGGCUGGAUUUGUCGUAGCUUGAAACUAUUCAGGCGGUUUGAUUUUGCGGAGUUCACUAGGCGCAUGUCUGAUGUGCAAACACGCUUGGACAUAUGAGGGAGAAAUGAGUUUCGACCUUA